rnacentral:rRNA from 1 species
CCUACGGGAGGCAGCAGUGAGGAAUUUUCCGCAAUGGGCGAAAGCCUGACGGAGCAAUACCGCGUGAGGGAUGAAGGAUUUUGGUCUGUAAACCUCUUUUCUCAAGAAAGAAGUUCUGACGGUACUUGAGGAAUAAGCAUCGGCUAACUCCGUGCCAGCAGCCGCGGUAAUACGGGGGAUGCAAGCGUUAUCCGGAAUGAUUGGGCGUAAAGCGCCUGUAGGUUGUUUAUUAAGUCCGUUGUUAAAGCCUAGGGCUUAACCCUAGAAAAGCAAUGGAAACUAGUAGACUAGAGUAUGGCAGGGGUAGAGGGAAUUUCUAGUGUAGCGGUGAAAUGCGUAGAUAUUAGAAAGAACACCGGUGGCGAAAGCGCUCUACUGGACCAUUACUGACACUCAGAGGCGAAAGCUAGGGUAGCAAAAGGGAUUAGAUACCCCUGUAGUCCUAGCCGUAAACGAUGGAUACUAGAUGUUGUGCAUUAUGUACAGUAUCGUAGCUAACGCGUUAAGUAUCCGCCUGGGGAGUACGCUCGCAAGGGUGAAACUCAAAUGAAUUGACGG